UUUGUAGUUCUGAGUAAAAUACUCCAAAGACCACUACAACAUUCAAAAGAAAUAGCCCUCUUUUGAUAUUUCCACCUUACUACAAUAUCGCUCACUCUCUAUUUUUCUCACAGACUAUUUUCUUAUACCUUGUCUGUGAAACCUCACUCUUUCUUUCUCUCUUCGUUGGUGUAUAGAAAUGAGAGUUGAAGCUCUCCUUUUAU
rnacentral:lncRNA from 1 species